UACGGAAGGUCCGGGCGUUAUCCGGAUUUAUUGGGUUUAAAGGGAGCGUAGGCCGGAGAUUAAGCGUGUUGUGAAAUGUAGAUGCUCAACAUCUGAACUGCAGCGCGAACUGGUUUCCUUGAGUACGCAUAAAGUGGGCGGAAUUCGUGGUGUAGCGGUGAAAUGCUUAGAUAUCACGAAGAACUCCGAUUGCGAAGGCAGCUCACUGGGGCGCAACUGACGCUGAAGCUCGAAAGCGCGGGUAUCGAACAGGAUUAGAUACCCUGGUAGUUGACU
rnacentral:rRNA from 1 species